rnacentral:rRNA from 1 species
AAUGAACGCUGGCGGUGUGCCUAACACAUGCAAGUCGAGCGGAAGCACAGUAAGAUUGCUCCUCUGCUGUUGGCGGCGGACGGAUGAGUAACAAAUACAUCGCCUACUACUAUUACUGGGGUGACUACGGGGGGCAAGUUAUACUACUGGCUCAUACUUUGUACGGGUUAGUUCAAGGGUGCAUGACAGUCUUGCUGACUCUAAUAGAUGAUUCCGGGCUGAAUUAGCUAGUUGGUAAGGUAACGGCUCACCAAGGCGACGAUGCAUAGCCGACCUGAGAGGAUGAUCGGCCACACUGGAACUGAGACACGGUCCAGACUCCUACGGGAGGCAGCAGUGGGGAAUAUUGGACAAUGGGCGCAAGCCUGAUCCAGCCAUACCGCGUGGGUGAAGAAGGCCUUCGGGUUGUAAAGCCCUUUUGUUGGGAAAGAACAGAAGCAGGUUAAUACCCCGCUGUUCUGACGGUACCCAAAGAAUAAGCACCGGCUAACUUCGUG